GUCCCUGUGGAUUAAUGAAAAGUCUCCCCAUCUUUAGAUAAACUUGUAAGUUCCUGUAUUAUUUGGGGAAAUGGGUGUUCGAUUCGCCCCAGGGACA